AUUGAACGCUGGCGGCAUGCCUUACACAUGCAAGUCGAACGGCAGCGCGGGGGCAACCCUGGUGGCGAGUGGCGAACGGGUGAGUAAUAUAUCGGAACGUGCCCUAGAGUGGGGGAUAACGUAGCGAAAGUUACGCUAAUACCGCAUACGAUCUACGGAUGAAAGCGGGGGAUCGCAAGACCUCGCGCUCAUGGAGCGGCCGAUAUCUGAUUAGCUAGUUGGUAGGGUAAAAGCCUACCAAGGCGACGAUCAGUAGCUGGUCUGAGAGGACGACCAG
rnacentral:rRNA from 1 species